CCUCUUCCUCCUGGAAUCGCCGCGUGCGCCACCUCCUUCGAUUGAUGGAGCCCCGCCUCCUCCUUCCUCCGUGAACCCCACCACCCCUUCUCCAACUCCUUUUGCCGCCAGAGCCCACCCCACCCCGCCUCCUUGCUCCAGCAAGGCCAAAGACCUCCUCCACCACCGGCGAUUGGGGCCGGCGUGCCCCCAACCCCGUCCAACCGCUGGCGCACCGUGCGGCCAUGGCGGGAUCUGGCCGCCACUGGCCCCCAGCGAGGCCAUCUCCACCAGAUCCGUCCGCCACGGCCAUCAGCGCGGCCAGAAACAGAAGGAUCCGGCCGCCAACAACCGCUCACCUCCCCUGCCCCUUCCCACGCCAAUGGAUCUGACCCGUGCCACUGUGUAGUGCCCACCUCCUCUGCGGUUUGGUGGCACUCAUGCUGCUACUUGUCUGCAAGACCCCGGCCUCGUCCCCAACCGGGUGAUGGUCCCCGUGGGACUGGCCUCCCCCCACCAAGCUUUCCCUCUGUCGAGCUCGCAACGGCCCACGCGGGUGCAGUACGCCCGUACUUCCCGACGUGGUUUGGUUGCCCCGGUGAUGCAGUGUGGUUUCCUCGCUCAUGCAGUUUUAGCCCCCUCCCCCGUGCUAUUUGGUUUUGGAGGGCAGAGCUAUUCGGGUGGCACUCCGAUGCAACUCGGUUUGCGGACGGAGGGCGACUAUGACCUGUCGUGAAGGUGGCUGAAUGUCCUGGUGCUGCUCCAAUGCUCGUCUCUGCUUCAACUCCCCUGUAACUGAAGCGGUUCGCUGGAGCAAACCUGCAGCUCUCUCCUCGAUCUGCAGAUCAUCGCAGUACACCAUGGCCUCGCAUGCGGCCCGAUGUCAUGGCCGUUUCGGUGAUAGCGUGCGCCAGGAACACCUUAUGUGCUUCGAUCCAUCCUUGACGCACGUGUGUGUGUGUUUUCUCUUUCUGUUUUGCAGUAAAGUUAAAAUGCGGUGUGCUCCAGUGCGGAUCAGAUGGGGUUUUCCUUGUUAUAUUUGGCUGCAGAAGACAGACACAAAAAAAUGAUGCAGGUCAUUGACAUUGACCAUGUAGCUCAGAUGUCCCCUGGAUGUGUGGGAUGCAUGCCCCUGUGUUGAAGUUUUGUGCCCUCCCCCCUAUGAUGAACGUGAGAUAAUGUGUGUGUGUGUGUGUGUGUGUGUGUGUGUUUUCAGUGUAUUUUUGUAUUGUAGGUGCAGUGCACAUGUGCCGCCCCCUGUAGUGCACUAGUUUUGUUCGUGCAGUGUAGGACGUGCGCCAAUUGAAAAUAUCAUGAAGGAACGUACAUAAAAUAACUAUUCUCGUCCUUGCAGUGCA